rnacentral:misc_RNA from 1 species
CUGGGAGAAAUGGCGCCGUGGAGGGAGCUCGGCCAUGGAAGCUUCUGCUGGCGGCCAAGAGAGCACAGCGAGAUGGGGAAAAAGAGAGCAGCGGCGUCGCGCCAUGGGCAGGAAAGCUGCUCGCCAUGGGAGCCCACAACCAUGGCGUGGAGGAGCUUCCUGGUAGCUGUUGCCGCCGUGAGGGAGGAGACAGGAGAGAGUGCGUGCGUGGGAGAGGAGGAAGAAGAGAGUGGCGGCUGGAAAAAGUGGAGGGGUGGGAAUGCAAAAUGA